UGAGGAAUAUUGGUCAAUGGAGGAAACUCUGAACCAGCCAUGCCGCGUGGAGGAUGAAGGUCCUCUGGAUUGUAAACUCCUUUUAUAAAAGAAGAAACCCCAUUUUUCUAAAUGGGUUGACGGUACUUUAUGAAUAAGCACCGGCUAACUCCGUGCCAGCAGCCGCGGUAAUACGGAGGGUGCAAGCGUUAUCCGGAUUCACUGGGUUUAAAGGGAGCGUAGGUGGGUUGGUAAGUCAGUGGUGAAAUCU
rnacentral:rRNA from 1 species